GACGAACGCUGGCGGCGUGCUUAACACAUGCAAGUCGAACGGAAAGGCCCUGCUUUUGUGGGGUGCUCGAGUGGCGAACGGGUGAGUAACACGUGAGUAACCUGCCCUUGACUUUGGGAUAACUUCAGGAAACUGGGGCUAAUACCGGAUAGGAGCUCCUGCUGCAUGGUGGGGGUUGGAAAGUUUCGGCGGUUGGGGAUGGACUCGCGGCUUAUCAGCUUGUUGGUGGGGUAGUGGCUUACCAAGGCUUUGACGGGUAGCCGGCCUGAGAGGGUGACCGGCCACAUUGGGACUGAGAUACGGCCCAGACUCCUACGGGAGGCAGCAGUGGGGAAUAUUGCACAAUGAGCGGAAGCCUGAUGCAGCAACGCCGCGUGCGGGAUGACGGCCUUCGGGCUGUAAACCGCUUUCGCCUGUGACGAAGCGUGAGUGACGGUAAUGGGUAAAGAAGCACCGGCUAACUACGUG
rnacentral:rRNA from 1 species